rnacentral:misc_RNA from 1 species
GCAAACUUGGUCAUUUAGAGGAAGUAAAAGUCGUAACAAGGUCUCCGUUGGUGAACCAGCGGAGGGAUCAUUACCGAGUUUACAACUCCCAAACCCGUGUGAAUCAUACCUUUUUGUUGCUUCGGCGGGAUCGCCCCGGGCGCCAUCGUGUGCCCCGGAGUCAGGCGCCCGCCGGGGGACCCAAACUCUUGUAUCUUUUAGGCUUGUCUGAGUGGAUUAUACCAAUAAUCAAAACUUUCAACAACGGAUCUCUUGGUUCUGGCAUCGAUGAAGAACGCAGC